AUUGAACGCUGGCGGCAUGCCUUACACAUGCAAGUCGAACGGCAGCACGGGAGCAAUCCUGGUGGCGAGUGGCGAACGGGUGAGUAAUAUAUCGGAACGUGCCCAGUCGUGGGGAUAACGUAGCGAAAGCUACGCUAAUACCGCAUACGAUCUAUGGAUGAAAGCGGGGGAUCGCAAGACCUCGCGCGAUUGGAGCGGCCGAUAUCAGAUUAGGUAGUUGGUGAGGUAAAGGCUCACCAAGCCGACGAUCUGUAGCUGGUCUGAGAGGACGACCAGCCACACUGGGACUGAGACACGGCCCAGACUCCUACGGAGGCAGCAGUGGGGAAUUUUGGGACAAUGGGCGCAAGCCUGAUCCAGCAAUGCCGCGUGCAGGAUGAAGGCCCUCGGGUUGUAAACUGCUUUGUACGG
rnacentral:rRNA from 1 species